UAGCUAUGUACGGAAUGGAUAAGCGCUGAAAGCAUCUAAGCGCGAAGCCAACUUCAAGAUAAGAUUUCCCACCGCAAGGGUAAGACCCCAGAAAGACUAUCUGGUUGAUAGGUCGAAGGUGUAAGUGCAGCAAUGUAUUUAGCUUAUCGAUACUAAUAGGUCGAGGACUUGACCAA
rnacentral:rRNA from 2 species